GACGAAGGUGACGACCGUUGCUCGGAAUCACUGGGCCUAAAGCGCGCGUAGGUGGCUUGGUAAGUCCAUGGUGAAAUCCCUCGGCUCAACCGAGGAACUGCCGUGGAUACUGCCGAGCUUGAGUACGGGAGGGGUGAAUGGAACUCUCGGUGUAGCGGUGAAAUGCGUAGAUAUCGAGAGGAACGCCGGUGGCGAAAGCGAUUCACUGGACCGUAACUGACACUGAGGCGCGAAAGCUAGGGGAGCAAACAGG
rnacentral:rRNA from 1 species